AUUGAACGCUGGCGGCAUGCCUUACACAUGCAAGUCGAACGGUAACAGGUCUUCGGAUGCUGACGAGUGGCGAACGGGUGAGUAAUACAUCGGAACGUGCCUAGUAGUGGGGGAUAACUACUCGAAAGAGUGGCUAAUACCGCAUGAGAUCUACGGAUGAAAGCAGGGGAUCGCAAGACCUUGUGCUACUAGAGCGGCCGGUGGCAGAUUAGGUAGUUGGUGGGAUAAAAGCUUACCAAGCCGACGAUCUGUAGAUGGUCCGCGUGGACGAUCAGCCACACUGGGACUGAGACAGGGACCAGACUGCUACGGGAGGCAGCAGUGGGGAAGUUUGGACAAUGGGCGCAAGCCUGAUCCAGCAAUGCAGCGUGCAGGAUGAAGGCCUUCGGGUUGUAAACUGCUUUUGUACGGAACGAAAAGCCCCGGGUUAAUACCCUGGGGUCAUGACGGUACCGUAAGAAUAAGCACCGGCUAACUACGUGCCAGCAGCCGCAGUAA
rnacentral:rRNA from 1 species